rnacentral:rRNA from 1 species
ACAUGCAAGUCGAGCGGGCGAGGUUGCUUCGGUAACUGAGCUAGCGGCGGACGGGUGAGUAAAGCUUAGGAAUCUGCCUAUUAGUGGGGGACAACAUUCCGAAAGGGAUGCUAAUACCGCAUACGUCCUACGGGAGAAAGCAGGGGAUCACUUGUGACCUUGCGCUAAUAGAUGAGCCUAAGUCGGAUUAGCUAGUUGGUGGGGUAAAGGCCUACCAAGGCGACGAUCUGUAGCGGGUCUGAGAGGAUGAUCCGCCACACUGGGACUGAGACACGGCCCAGACUCCUACGGGAGGCAGCAGUGGGGAAUAUUGGACAAUGGGGGGAACCCUGAUCCAGCCAUGCCGCGUGUGUGAAGAAGGCCUUUUGGUUGUAAAGCACUUUAAGCGAGGAGGAGGCUUACCUGGUUAAUACCUGGGAUAAGUGGACGUUACUCGCAGAAUAAGCACCGGCUAACUCUGUGCCAGCAGCCGCGGUAAUACAGAGGGUGCGAGCGUUAAUCGGAUUUACUGGGCGUAAAGCGCGCGUAGGUGGUUAAUUAAGUCAAAUGUGAAAUCCCCGAGCUUAACUUGGGAAUUGCAUUCGAUACUGGUUAGCUAGAGUAUGGGAGAGGAUGGUAGAAUUCCAGGUGUAGCGGUGAAAUGCGUAGAGAUCUGGAGGAAUACCGAUGGCGAAGGCAGCCAUCUGGCCUAAUACUGACACUGAGGUGCGAAAGCAUGGGGAGCAAACAGGAUUAGAUACCCUGGUAGUCCAUGCCGUAAACGAUGUCUACUAGCCGUUGGGGGAUUUGAUCCUUUAGUGGCGCAGCUAACGCGAUAAGUAGACCGCCUGGGGAGUACGGUCGCAAGACUAAAACUCAAAUGAAUUGACGGGGGCCCGCACAAGCGGUGGAGCAUGUGGUUUAAUUCGAUGCAACGCGAAGAACCUUACCUGGCCUUGACAUAGUAGAGACUUUCCAGAGAUGGAUUGGUGGCUUCGG